rnacentral:lncRNA from 1 species
GUUAGCUUGCUAUAUUUGAUAUCUCCCAAGUACCAUCCCACUAUGAACUGCUUAUACAAAAAGAUAUUUUGUCACCAAAUGAUUUAUAAUAAUUUAUAAAAUAGAACAUCAUUAUAUAUGCUAAUAUAAAUUGUGUGCCCUUGGCUAAAUACUGGGAUCAUAUUGUUUUACCAGUGUCCUUUCGACAGUCCCGCACUUGGUAUACUAGCUAGUAUAGGAUUAUACGGCUGAUUUCGUAGGAUUAUGUACAGUUUUUAAGCUUAAACUUUUAAAUGAUGUACCUGGUGUUAGUACAUACACUAACGAUUCGCAUCUUGUCAAUUUUUUCUUUUUUUUUUUUAUGACAGGUUGCAAAAUUUGGCAUUUUUUAAAUAUAUUGCGCCGAUAUAUUUUUUUUACCUAUUUUGAGGGUGCAUAUAUAUUCUCAGGAUCAUUUUUUCUUUAAUGAUUUUUCACGAACGACAGAAUGUUGAACUUGGUGUAUUUGAGUGAAAUUUUGCAUACAGUUUGCAAGGUUUGUCCGACCAUGGAAGUAUAUAAUACUUCCACUUCCAUGGUCCGACUAACUACGCACACAACCCAC